rnacentral:rRNA from 1 species
GACGAACGCUGGCGGCGCGCUUAACACAUGCAAGUCGAGCGAAGCGGCGGACGGGUGAGAAACACGUGAGUAACCUGCAUUAGACAUUGGGAUAGCCUCGGGAAACCGGGAUUAAUACCAAAUGGUCUAAGAUGGACUCGCGUACCAUAAGCAAGUUGGUGAGGUAACGGCCCACCACGGCGACGAUGGGUAGCCGGCCGGGUAGGGUGAACGGCCACAUUGGAAGUGAGAAACGGUCCAAACUCUACGGGAGGCAGCAGUGGGGAAUAUUGCACAAUGGAGGGAACUCUGAUGCAUCGAGGCCGAGAGAACGAAGAAGGCUUUCGAGUCGUAAAGUUCUUUUAUAUGGGAAGCGGUACCAUAAGAAAAAGCCCCGGCUAACUACGUGCCAGCAGCCGCGGUAAUAC